AUGCCGUCGCCGAUGUUCAAGCACAAGGAAAUGUUGUCAGCAUUACCAGCUCAUGUAGGUUGCAGCAUCGUUGAUGUCGCAGCAGACCCAUUGUGGGCGUGUUUGAUUGCCCGCAUAAGGUCCAACCAGUUUCUCCAGGGCCAGGUCCGAGCGGUGCACGUGGGCGGGCGCGGCUGCACGCGCGGCCACACUCGAGAAGCCGCGUUGCUUCCUGAAGCACCAAAAGUUAUUAGCCUCACCGCCCCUCACCGCUCCUUCUCCCUACUCUUCCCCACUCUCCCAAUUCUCAUCGACGGCGGCGGAUCGGAGCAGAAGGAAGAAGAACACCAGACUCCAUCACCGACGGCGGCGGGUCGGAGCAAAGGAAUAAGACCACCGGACUCCAUCAAUGGCGGAAUCAGCGUCUUCAGCUCUUCUUUAGUGGCCUUCAUGAGCACUGCAUUAGAUUCGUUGUGCAUGUUUGGCAUGGAGCCGAAGGUCGAGCACACCUCCAUGGUGUUCUCGAACUUGGUGUGGUCACCAGCCGACCACCCGGGGAAGAAGGCCCUCCAGCCAAUACCCCAAGGGAAGGGCUUGGCGUUGGAGCUGGAGCUAGAGCUCAUGGCGAUGGGGAGGAGGAAGGUUGACAGUGAGAGAAGAGAGGGGGUGGUGCCUGACUCCAUGAAUUGUGUGCAGAUCGAGGACAGCAAUGAGAUGGGCAUGGAGGUGCUCCCGACCGUUGACAACAAGGGCAAGCAGCCCCUUCACCCAAUGCCCGACGAGGUUGAGCUACCGCCCACCGCUGAGGAAGACCCGAAGACGCCUGAGGGUGGCGACAACAAGGGCAUGGAGGAGCCCCCCAGCAACAAGCGCCGCAACUACGACCACUACCAUCAGGAGGAUGGCCCAACUCACUUCUACAAGGUCAUCCUUGCACCGAAGCUUGAGUGCAUCCCCAUGCCCCUGGACUUCACCAAGCACUUCAUCGCGGUGCCGAUGGAGUUCAAGCUCAGGAACAACACCGGCUGCUCCUGGAAGGUGACGGUCAAGCUGAUGAAUGACAGAGUGACCCUGGAUCAGGGUUGGGCUACCUACACAGCCAUUCAUCAGAUCAAGACCAGCUACAUGGUGACGUUCAAGCUCCUCACUUCCGACACCCUCAAGGUCACCAUCUUCGACGACGAUGGCAUUGAGGUCGUCAACAAGUGCGGGAAGCACGACGAAGCCUUCGCCGCCAAGGAGAGUUUCGUGAAGAAGGAGACAGAAUUGAGGAGUACUUCAGGAAGUUUUCUAAUGCCAGCACAUUGAGUCCAUAAUGUGUAUAUAGGAAAAUCCUACUACCGCAUGUCUCUAAACCCAUCUCAGCACAUGGGGUUAGCAACAAUAUUUCGAGGUUAUCUUUGCAUGAUCGCUAAAAAUUCUGUGAGGCUGGCUUCUAUUGUCAUGGGUAAGCCAGGCAUAAUUUCUGAAGAUGCACGUCUCACCACACUGAUGACUCCAAGAAAGGGACAAAAGAUGGCUCUUGGGGUGUACGUGCGCAACUUUGUCAGUACAGCCAAGGAUGCGUACAAUGAUAAGGUCACUGAGGAAACUAUUGUUACCUUUCUUGGUGCUCUUCAAGGUGUGGCAGCAAUGAGCUACUUCAUGGCUCAAGACACCCUUGCAAAUAUUGGUGAUGAUGAAGCUCGUUCACUGGACUGCGGUCCAGAUUCUGUUUUCAAUAGACCUUGGUUGGAGUACAUGAGGAAAACAGACAAUCUGAGACGUGAAUUCAAGACGGCUCCGCCACAAGACCAGGACGGGAUUAUGAUGAAUACGGUGACUGAAGCAAUGAAACUCACGGAGUCCUUUGUUAGAUUGAUGACUGUUCGUCACAGAACUGCGCUACUAGGCCUUAUCCCAAGUGUCACCACAGGCUCGGCAGCAGCAGUUUGA
rnacentral:rRNA from 1 species